rnacentral:misc_RNA from 1 species
GCAGAACCCUACUCCACCGUUGAAGCGGUCCGAUCAUAUUUCCGACGAAGCUGAUAUGUCAAUGAAGUUGACUCCUUCCAAGAGAUCACAUGAUCAGGGCCCUGUAGAAACAAAUGGCCGAGGGAAGUGGCAGAAAUCAUCAUCUUUUAGUUCCCAGAGAUCACCUGCGAAAGUUCGUAUAUUAUGCCCUGCUUCAAAAAUAAUUUUCCUUAUCGGAGAGGAUAGUAGCAUUAUUUCUCGGAUACAAGAGGAAACAGGUGCAGAGGUUCGAGUUGAGGAUAGUAUUGUUGGUUGUGAUGAGAGGGUGAUAGUUAUUGUAGGUUCAGGAAAAGAAGAUGAAGUGGUAACCAAACAGUUCCAGGCUGAUAUUGAGGGGAGUGAAACCAAGGAAAAAGACAAUUGCAAUGAUGAAAAUAGUGAGAAUAAGGCGUCUCUUCCAGCAGAAAAUUCCAAAACUGAAAAGGAAACUGAAUCUAUUCAGAAAGCUCUAUUCUUGUUGUUUGAAAGGAUGGUUGGAAGAGCAGAAAUGGAUGGAGGAGAUGAAGAGGGUAAUGAUUCUUCCUCAUUAAUUAUAAGAUUGCUUGUUCUCUCCAGCCAAGUGGGCUGUUUGCUAGGAAAAAGUGGUAGUGUGAUAAAAAAGAUGUCUUCUGAAAGUGGUUCACAGAUACGAAUUCUUCCCAGGGACAAACUACCUUCAUGUGCGUCUUCAUCAGAUGAAUUGGUUCAGAUAUCUGGGGAGCAUGAUGCAGUUAAAAAAGCUCUUGAAAUGGUUGCUCGACAAUUACUUGAGAGUUCCUCUGGGGAUCAAGAUUUUCUCUCUGCUGAUGCUGGUGGCCCAUCUUCACAGUCUCCUAGACGUCCUCUAUCUAACCGGGAAUUACGUCCAACGUCAGCACGUCCUUACCAUGGGCAGGGGCCUGCUUCCUCUGGUGGAUUUCGUGUUGGGGAAGCUGGUAUACCUGGUCGAAUGAAUCAUAUUCCGGAUGCCUUGACUUUCAGAUUACUUUGUCCAGACGAAAAGGUUGGAGGUAUAAUUGGAAAGGGAGGAAGUAUAAUUAAAGCACUUCAGCAUGAGACUGGGUGUCAAAUCAAAGUUCUGGAAAGCACAGGGGAUUCUGAAGAUCGAAUUAUUGUCAUCUCUGGUCCAGCGUUCCCAGAUGAUAGAAUAUCUUUGCCGCAAGAUGCUGUCCUUCGCAUCCAAUCCCGAAUAUUUAGGGCUGCACCUGAGAAUCAGGACAAUGUUAUGGUUGCAAAACUCUUGGUGUUCUCCAAUCAAAUUGGGUGUCUCUUGGGUAAAGGUGGUGGUAUAAUAGCUGAAAUGAGGAAAUCAACUGGAGCGUAUAUUCGUAUUGUAGGCAAGGAUCAAAUCCCAAAGUUUGCUGCGGAAAAUGAAGAAGUAAUUCAGAUAAAUGGAGAUGUUGAAAAAGUUCAUGAAGCCCUUCUGCAGAUAACUGCCAGAUUACAGAAUCAUUACUUUCGUGAUGCAUUUCCUUCAAACCCUGGGUUUCUGGACCAAGUACCUCCAUUCCCUUCACAUGUGGGAAGGAGAGAAUUUUCACCACCUCCAGGCAUGUUCCCCAACAUUCGCCCACCAUUUCACAAGUUCGAUGCUCUACCUCCUCAUGGUGGUUUCCAUCCACAUGAUGAUCGUCCUCCCUUCAUGCAAAAUUUCCAUAGGCCAGGCGUUCCACCUCAUAUUUCUGAUAGAAUGCCAUCUUCAGCUCCAUGGGGUUCUCAGGGACGGGGUGAAGGUGGGGGACAUCUAGGCUUCCCAGACUAUGCAGGAGGUCCUCGAAAUAUUGGCGGCUUUGGAGGAGCAAGUAAUCCCGCUGUGAUCACAAGCACUACCGUGGAAGUUGUUGUACCUCGAUCUGUCAUUCCUGCAAUCUAUGGAGAAGGUGGGGGAUGUCUUCGACAAAUAUGUGAGAUUUCUGAUGCGAAAGUCACCAUAAAUGAUCCCAAGCCUGGAGCAACAG